GCAUAUCAAUAAGCGGAGGAAAAGAAACUAACCAGGAUGCGCUUAGUAACGGCGAGCGAACCGCGCAAAGCCCAACUUUAAAAUCUCCCUCUGGAGAAUUGUAGUCUAUAGAAGCUUCCUCUGUGGCACACCCAGCUCAAAUCUUCUGGAAAGGAGUGUCGGAGAGGGUGAGAACCCCGUCGGCUGUCGUGCUUGCCACUCCACGAGGUGCUUUCACAGAGUCGUGUUGCUUGGGAAUGCAGCACUAAUUGGGUGGUAAAUCCCAUCUAAGGCUAAAUACUGGCGAGAGACCGAUAGCGAACAAGUACCGUGAGGGAAAGAUGAAAAGAACUUUGAAAAGAGAGUUAAAAAGUGCUUGAAAUUGUUGAGGGGGAAGCGUUUGAAUGCCGUGGGUGCGCCUAGGCUUAUGGGUCUCUAACGAGCCUCUGUAUGUGCUAGGUGCUGGUCAGCAUGGGUUAGGCCCGCAGGAUAAACGCCGGGGUUGUUACUCGGUCUAUACUGCAGGCCUGACCAAGGUAUGAAGAGCGCCCUUGUCCUUCGGGAACUGCGUUCUCAAGAUGCUGGCAGAAAGUAUUCAACCGACCCGUCUUGAAACACGGACCAAGGAGUCUAACAUGUAUGCGAGCUGGUGGGUGGAAAACCCAUGAAGCGCAAGUAACCUGACUGGUGGGAUGGCCUGUGCCUGCACCAUCGACCGACCAUGAGCUUCUGCGAAAGGUUUGAGUACGAGCAUACCUGUUGGGACCCGAAAGAUGGUGAACUAUGCCUGAGCAGGGCGAAGCCAGAGGAAACUCUGGUGGAGGCUCGUAGAUGUGCUGACGUGCAAAUCGCUUUUCGGACUUGGGUAUAGGGGCGAAAGACUAAUCGAACCAUCUAGUAGCUGGUUCCCUCCGAANUUUCCCCCACGAUAACUGGAGCUUGUAUCANUAGCGUCAGGUNAAGCGAAUGAUUAGAGGUUCGGGGGAUGUAACAUCCUUCACCUAUUCUCAAACUUUAAAUAGGCGCGACGGCCGGGUUGCUUGAUUGAACCCGUGUCACUCUAUGAGAGCUCCAAGUGGGCCAUUUUUGGUAAGCAGAACUGGCGAUGCGGGAUGAACCGAUAGUCGAGUUAAGGUGCCCAACUACACGCUAACCUANAACCCACAAAGGGUGUUGAUUGAUAUAGACAGCAGGACGGUGGUCAUGGAAGUCGAAAUCCGCUAAGGAGUGUGUAACAACUCACCUGCCGAAUCAAUUAGCCCCGAAAAUGGAUGGCGCUGAAGCGUGUGACCUAUACUCGGCCAUGGAAGCAAGUGCGAGGCUUCCAUGANUAGGAGGGCGUGGGUGUCGUUGCGAAGUCCGAGGCGUGAGCCUGGAUGAAACGGCAUCUAGUGCAGAUCUUGGUGGUAGUAGCAAAUACACAAAUGAGAACUUUGUGGACUGAAGUGGAGAAAGGUUCCAUGUGAACAGCAAUUGGACAUGGGUUAGUCGAUCNUAAGAGAUAGGCAAACGCUGUAUGAAGAGAGCACUUGUGCUCUGCCUAUCGAAAGGGAAAAGGGUUAAGAUUCCCUUACCUGGAUGAGGGAGCUGGCGGCAACGCAAGCGAGCCUGCAGACAUCGGCAUUGACCCUGGGAAGAGUUCUCUUUUCUUUUUAACAGCUCGAAGGCCCUGGAAUCGAAUCAUUCGGAGAUAGGGCUCAGAAGCUGGUAAAGCACCGCACGUCUUCGCGGUGUCCGGCGCGCCAAUGACGGUCCUUGAAAAUGCAGGGAGCAUUACUNCUCUCACCAGUCGUACUNNNNNNNNNNNNNNNNNNNNNNNNNNNNNNNCAGCCUCUANUCGAUAGAAUAAUGUAGAUAAGGGAAUCGGCAAAAUGGAUCCGUAACUUCGGGAAAAGGAUUGGCUCUGAGGGUUGGGUCUAGGGGUCUGCAUCUUGAAACCGCGGGCUGUCGGCACCCUGCCGAGUGCUUUCGGGUGCGANGCGGGGUGCUGCGUGCCUGUGGCGGACGGGUGCAGAAGCUUCGGCGUUCCCUAGACGACGAACAACCAACUCAGAACUGGUACGGACAAGGGGAAUCCGACUGUUUAAUUAAAACAAAGCAUUGUGAUGGUCCCAAAGGAUGUUGACACAAUGUGAUUUCUGCCCAGUGCUCU
rnacentral:rRNA from 1 species